UCACAAUCCCAGCUGCGCCCCCAGCCCAGUGGCCCCACUCCCAGCAUUUCUCCAUGUCCCCCAGUUAGGGAUGUAAAUACCGUUUUAAAAGUUAAUCGUUUAAACUGUUAAAAGAUUUGGUUUAAACGGUUAACCGAUUUAGCAGCUGGGGCCAAUCCCGCCAGCGCAGCUGGGGCUGGGGUUGCUCUGGCCAAUGUGGCUGCUGGGGCCGGACGGUCCAAGGGUUAAUGGUUAAGCGUUAAGACUAAUGGUUAACAUUUUACAUCCCUACCUCUAAUCCCAGCAUCAGCCCCCCCCCCCCCCAGCAUCCUCCAAUCCCACCAUUUUCCCCAGUGUCAGUGUCUUCCAUUCCCAGCACCAGCCUCGCAGUGUCCCCCAAUCCUAGGGUUCCAGACCUUCUCCCUUCUCUCCAGCACCAGCUCUCUCAUGUCCUACAGUCCCCUGACUCACCAAACAUCUCAGUCAAUCCCCGUUGUCCAAUGCUCAGAGCCAUAAUAAAGAUAAAGGCUAUAAGGUCCUGAUUCCAUAGAAAACUCUGUGAGGGUGCAGGAGUCCACCUGCAUGGAAUGUCUUGCAGGAUUAGAGCCUAACAGCAAAAGUGUUUGCUUUUCACGGAUUAUAGUCAUCCAGACAACAGCUGAAGAGUCUUCUAAACUAAAUUAGUGCAAGAAUGCUGUGACCAAUGGAAAAAUGUUUGAUGCAUCCAGGAAAAUGAAUCUUCCCAGCUUUUAAAAAUAUUGCUGUCAAAACAAUUUGGGAUUGCACAAGAUUUCCAUAUUAUUCCUUUAGAAAAUAUUACUUAUUACUUGGGUGUAAUGCAAAUGUAUUGGGUUAAUUGCUCAUCUCCAAAAAGGCUAUUUAAAAUAUUUGCAUGUAAAGAUAAAUAUUAUCCUGAUUGUUGUGAAUUCUGGUAGCUGCUCACAGAUGGGGUUGACCUGUGGAAAGGCUUAGAUCACAUUGGAUGGAAGUCACAAAUGCAAAUUUUUAUGGUAGAAUUUGAAAAAGUAUUAAAUGUAUAGGCCUGUAUUAAAAUCUUUGUCCAUCAAUAAAUAGAAACUUAAUAGAUCACAUACGGCUCAAUCCUGCCAUUUCUACUCAGGAAUAAUCUCAAUUCCUGGGGAUUUCAAUGUGAUUUUUACCUAAGGACUGUAAGAGCUAUCUCUUACUGAAACACCCAGUCACCGUGCUAGCUAAGCAAUAA